AGUGAACGCUGGCGGUAGGCCUAACACAUGCAAGUCGAACGGCAGCACAGUAAGAGCUUGCUCUUACGGGUGGCGAGUGGCGGACGGGUGAGGAAUACAUCGGAAUCUACUUUUUCGUGGGGGAUAACGUAGGGAAACUUACGCUAAUACCGCAUACGCCCUACGGGUGAAAGCAGGGGAGCUUCGGACCUUGCGCGAUUGAAUGAGCUGAUGUCGGAUUAGCUAGUUGGCGGGGUAAAGGCCCACCAAGGCGACGAUCCGUAGCUGGUCUGAGAGGAUGAUCAGCCACACUGGAACUGAGACACGGUCCAGACUCCUACGGGAGGCAGCAGUGGGGAAUAUUGGACGAUGGGCGCAAGCCUGAUCCAGCCAUACCGCGUGGAUGAAGAAGGCCUUCUGGUUGUAAAGCCCUUUUGUUGGGAAAGAAAAGCAGCAGGUUAAUACCCCGCUGUUCUGACGGUACCCAAAGAAUAAGCACCGGCUAACUUCGUG
rnacentral:rRNA from 1 species